UCGGAAUAAGGACUGCCCUCUCAUUAAGAUGAGGAUUUGCUAGAAACUCAGCAGAAGAUUCAGCUAAUAAUAUUUGGUUAUUUAAAAUUACAUUUUUGAGACCAUAAGCUCGGGCGAGCGCCCUUGAGCGUGUCGAAAAAAUGUAAUUAAAUAUUUACCUUAAUACUGAAUUUUUUCGUUGAGACAGAACACAAAUCAGGAUUUGUUUUAGCAAAUUCGUGUCUUUUCUAGUAGUCUAAUCGUCAUUUUGAUGAGAGGGCCGCAGCUAAAGAGCCCACGGAACUGUUUACCAAAAACAUAGGUCUCUGCUAACGCGAAAGCGGAUGUAUAGGGGCUGACUCCUGCCCGGUGUCGGAAGGUUAAGGGGAGAGCUUUACGGUUCGAACUGAAGCCCCGAUGAACGGCGGCGAUAACUAUGAUCGUCCUAAGGUAGCGAAAUUCCUUGUCUGGUAAGUUCAGACCCGCACGAAUGGAGUAAUCAUGUGGGCACUGUCUCGGCGAAGGCCACGGUGAACGUGCAUUGGCGGUAAAGAUGCCGUCUGAUCAUGCCAGGACGAGAAGACCCCAUGGAGCUUUACUACAACUUUGCAUUGAUUAUUGGGACAUUUUGUGUAGAAUAGGUGGAAGACUUUGAAGCAGAUACGCUAGUAUUUGUGGAGUCGAAAUGUGAAAUACCACCCUGAAUGUUUUAGUAAUCUCACUUUUGACCUGAUCGGCCAAAAGGACCGUGCAUGGCGGGUAGUUUAACUGGGGCGGUUGCCUCCUAAAGAGUAGCGGAGGCGUUCAAAGGUUGGCUAACUACGGAUGGAAAUCGUAGUGAUAGUGUAUGCGCAAAAGCCAGCUUGACUGUGAGGGCCACAACCCAAUCAGACACGAAAGUGGGAGCAAAUGACCCGCUGUACAGAACUUCGGUUCAAUUUACGUGGGAAAGACAGCGCACACGGAUAAAAGUUACCCUGGGGAUAACAGGCUGAUCGCGCCCAAUAGUUCACAUAGACGGCGCGGUUUGGCACCUCGAUGUCGGCUCAUCACAUCCUGGAGGGGGAGCACCUUCCAAGGGUCCGGCUGUUCGCCGGUUAAAGUGGUACGCGAGCUGGGUUCAGAACGUCGUGAGACAGUUCGGUUUAUAUCCGGCAUGAUCGUUAGGAAUUUUGAGGAGAUCUACCCUUAGUACGAGAGGACCGGGGCGGACGAAUCUCUAGUGUAUCGGUUGUGACCACCUGUUGCAUCGCCGAGUAGCUAUGUUCGGAAGAGAUAAGCGCUGAAAGCAUAUUAAGCGCGAAGCCCACUCCAAGAUUAGAAUUCCCUAUGAGAUCCCAGAGAGAAGAUCUGGUUGAUAGGCGCAAGAUGGAAGUACCGCAAGGUAUGGAGUCGAAGCGUACUAAUAGAUCCAUCGCCUUUUUAUG
rnacentral:rRNA from 1 species